GAUGAAGAACGUAGCGAAAUGCGAUAAGUAGUGUGAAUUGCAGAAUUCAGUGAAUCAUCGAAUCUUUGAACGCACAUUGCGCCUCCUGGUAUUCCGGGAGGCAUGCCUGUUCGAGCGUCAUUAAAAUCACUCAAGCUUAGGUUUACCUAUUGCUUGGUCUUGGAGAUAGAAGCCAAUUUAUUGGAAUCCUCUUCGAAAUUCAAUGGCGAAGACCCUUGCUCUCCCAAGUGUAGUAAUAACUUAUGUCACUGAAGGAAGCGAGAAAUCUUCUGCCGUAACCCCCAUAUUUUCUAUGAUUGACCUCGGAUCAGGUAGGGAUACCCGCUGAACUUAAGCAUAUCAAUAAGCGGAGGA
rnacentral:misc_RNA from 1 species